rnacentral:rRNA from 1 species
ACGGGUGAGUAACGCGUGGGAAUCUACCCAUCUCUACGGAAUAACGCAUGGAAACGUGUGCUAAUACCGUAUACGUCCCUCGGGAGAAAGAUUUAUCGGAGAUGGAUGAGCCCGCGUUGGAUUAGCUAGUUGGUGGGGUAAAGGCCUACCAAGGCGACGAUCCAUAGCUGGUCUGAGAGGAUGAUCAGCCACACUGGGACUGAGACACGGCCCAGACUCCUACGGGAGGCAGCAGCGGGGAAUAUUGGACAAUGGGCGCAAGCCUGAUCCAGCCAUGCCGCGUGAGUGAUGAAGGCCCUAGGGUUGUAAAGCUCUUUCACCGGUGAAGAUAAUGACGGUAACCGGAGAAGAAGCCCCGGCUAACUUCGUGCCAGCAGCCGCGGUAAUACGAAGGGGGCUAGCGUUGUUCGGAUUUACUGGGCGUAAAGCGCACGUAGGCGGACUAUUAAGUCAGGGGUGAAAUCCCGGGGCUCAACCCCGGAACUGCCUUUGAUACUGGUAGUCUUGAGUUCGAGAGAGGUGAGUGGAAUUCCGAGUGUAGAGGUGAAAUUCGUAGA